rnacentral:sRNA from 1 species
GUUGCUGUGCUAACGACCGUUGGAACCCUCUUUUCCGGCUCUGAGAGGCUCCAGGUUUCUCCGCCAGAGCUCCUGUCGCUCUGUCACUUGCGCUGUGUUCCUCUCUAGUCACAAGAGCCUUGGGGAAGACAGUUGGAAGCUCAGACAUGGAUUUCACUCUUGUUGCCCAGGCUGGAGUGCAGUGGCUCGAUCUCGGCCCACUGCCGCCUCUGCCUCCUGGGUUCAAGCAAUUCUCCUGCCUCAGCCUCCUGAGUAGCUGUGGUUACAGCCCGCCUCAGCCUCCCAAAGUGCUGGGAUGACAGGCGUGAGCCACCAUGCCCAGCCGUAACUUA